rnacentral:rRNA from 1 species
GAGUUUGAUCGUGGCUCAAAUUGAACGCUGGCGGCAUGCCUUACACAUGCAAGUCGAACGGCAGCAUGAUCUAGCUUGCUAGAUUGAUGGCGAGUGGCGAACGGGUGAGUAAUACAUCGGAACGUGCCCUGUAGUGGGGGAUAACUAGUCGAAAGAUUAGCUAAUACCGCAUACGACCUGAGGGUGAAAGUGGGGGACCGCAAGGCCUCAUGCUAUAGGAGCGGCCGAUGUCUGAUUAGCUAGUUGGUGGGGUAAAGGCCCACCAAGGCGACGAUCAGUAGCUGGUCUGAGAGGGCGAUCAGCCACACUGGGACUGAGACACGGCCCAGACUCCUACGGGAGGCAGCAGUGGGGAAUUUUGGACAAUGGGCGAAAGCCUGAUCCAGCAAUGCCGCGUGUGUGAAGAAGGCCUCGGUUGUAAG